GACGAACGCUGGCGGCGUGCUUAACACAUGCAAGUCGAACGCAGUGGCGAACGGGUGAGCAAUACGUGAGUAACCUGCCCUCCUAUUUGUGAUAAGGCUUGGAAACGGGGUCUCAUACCCAAUUAACGGGUAUGUGCUCGCGGCCUAUCAGCUUGUUGGUGGGGUGAUGGGGUACCGAGGCGGUGUCGGGUAGCCGGCGUGAGAGGGUGACCGGCCACAUUGGGACGGACCUACGGCCCAGACUCCGACGGGGGGGAGCAGUGGGGGAUAUUGGACAAUGGGCGAAAACGUGAUGCAGCGACGCCGCGUGAGGGAUGAAGGCUGUCGGGUUGUAAACCUCUGGCGCUAUCGAACCGGUAGUUGGAGAAGAAGCGCCGGCUAACUACGUGCCAGCAGCCGCGGUAAUUC
rnacentral:rRNA from 1 species